UGAAGUGGGCACCCAGAAACGGGGAAAUCCUAAAGGGGCCAGCUGUGUUCAAGAGCUGGGUAAUUCUGGAAGCAUGUGGCUGAAGGAUACAGGUCCCUGGAGAACCAAGUACAGGUCCCAAGAGAGACAGAUGUGAAAUGUUGAAAUGUGGGGGAAAGAAAGGAAGCAAAGGAAAGAAUUACGCAGAGCAGGAGUAAAACAACUUCCCAAAGAGAAGGUUCUGGUGGUGUACUUAAGCACAACAGAGGUGGGUGCAAAAGCAUCAGGCACUUCAACAUUCUGAGUGUGGAUACCCAGAGGUCUGUGAGUGUGAGUCCACAGGUUCCUCUCAGUUUAGAUGGAGUCGUGCCUCCCCUCUGACCAGUAAGUGUUCUCCCAGGAAAAGGAGAAGUGGGGGAUUGAGAACUUUUAGAAAGGGAAUAAAAUCUCUAGGGAGAGAAACGCCAGGCUGGCCGGCAGGACGAUCAGAGAAGCAGUUUAAGGACUCCCUGGGGACCCUCACUUAGACCAAAGGACAGAGAGGCUGCACUGGAGCAUCAGGCCCCUCCCAACCAUCAAGAACCUCCAGAGCCCAGUCCCCCGGGAGAGAAGGAAGCCCCCAUGGGGAGGAAGAGCUCCCAGGACAGUAGGAGGCUCAGCCUGGGACUUUUCACCUUCUCAGCCUGGGGAUGCUUUAAAAAAAUAAUGAAAGGAGUUCCUAUCCUCCCCUCUGCUGCUCUCGUUGAUUCCUUUCAUCUAAUCCCCGGGUGGGGGGUGGGUGUCCAUAUCCUGGUCCCCUUGAGGAGAGGAGGUGAAGAGGAGUGCCAGGGAAUUUUCUAAGAAACGAAGGUACCCUGGAACCAAACCCAAGAUUAAACAGAAGACCCACAUGUGAAGCUGCGGUGAUUGUUUCU